rnacentral:rRNA from 1 species
CAGCCGUAAACAAUGUGCGUUAGGUGUGUCGGUAACCACGCGUUACUGAUGCGCCGAAGAGAAAUCGUGAAACGCACCACCUGGGAAGUACGGUCGCAAGGCUGAAACUUAAAGGAAUCGGCGGGGGAGCACCACAACAGGUGGAGCCUGCGGUUUAAUUGGACUCAACGCCGGGAAGCUCACCGGAUAGGACAGCAGAAUGAUUGCCGGGCUGAAGACCCUGCAUGACUAGCUGAGAGGUGGUGCAUGGCGUAGACGUCU